rnacentral:rRNA from 1 species
GAGUUUGAUCCUGGCUCAGGACGAACGCUGGCGGCGUGCUUAACACAUGCAAGUCAAGGGGUAGCAAUACCACUGGCGCACGGGUGAGUAACGCGUAGAUUAUCUGCCCCUAUCUCCGGAAUAACAUCAAGAAAUUGGUGCUAAAAACGGAUGAGGCACAAUGUGUCAAAGGUAACGGAUAGGGAUGAGUCUGCGUCUGAUUAGCUAGUUGGUGAGGUAACGGCUCACCAAGGCGACGAUCAGUAGCUGGUCUGAGAGGACGAUCAGCCACACUGGAACUGAGACACGGUCCAGACUCCUACGGGAGGCAGCAGUGAGGAAUUUUGCACAAUGGAGGAAACUCUGAUGCAGCCAUUCCGCGUGAGUGAAGAAGGCCUU